rnacentral:rRNA from 1 species
AGAGAGAUUCCGUCACCACCAAAAGAGUUAAACACAGGGACACAUUUGAAGUCUCGGAGCCGGGUGUUGGUUCCGGUAGCGAUCGAGGGAAAUUAGUACCGAAGUCCGGGAUGGAAGAUGGCGAGAAAAGCUGUGUGUAUUUCUGCGGUGCCCGUACCGCAAACCGACACAGGUAGGUAGGAAGAAGAUUCUAAGGCCAACGGGAGAAGGGUUGUUAAGGAACUCGGCAAAUUGACCCCGUAACUUCGGGAGAAGGGGUGCUCUAGAGAUAGAGCCGCAGAGAAUCGGCCCAAGCAACUGUUUACCAAAAACACAGGUUUGUGCUAAAUCGAAAGAUGACGUAUACGAGCUGACGCCUGCCCGGUGCUGGAAGGUUAAGAGGAGAUGUGCAAGCAUUGAAUCGAAGCCCCAGUGAACGGCGGCCGUAACGAUAACGGUCCUAAGGUAGCGAAAUUCCUUGUCAGGUAAGUUCUGACCCGCAUGAAAGGCGUAAUGAUUUGGGCACUGUCUCGACAGCCCGCCCGGCGAAAUUGUAGUACCGGUGAAGAUGCCGGUUACCCGCGACAAGACGGAAAGACCCCAUGGAGCUUUACUGUAGCCUAAUAUUGGGUUUCGAUGUUGCAUGCACAGGAUAGAUGGGAUACUGGGAAGCAAGUGCUUUGGCAUUUGUGGAGUGGCCGUUGGGAUACCAUCCUUGCGAUAUUGGAAUUCUAACCUGCGCCUUUGAAUCAAGGCGGGGGACAUUGUUAGGUGGGCAGUUUGACUGGGGCGGUCGCCUCCUAAAGAGUAACGGAGGCGUUCAAAGGUUCGCUCAGCUUGAACGGAAAUCAAGCAAAAGAGUGCAAACGCAGAAGCGAGCCUAACUGCGAGACUGACGGGUCGAGCAGUAACGAAAGUUGGAGUUAGUGAUCCGGUGGUAUGUGAGUGGAAAUGCCAUCGCUCAACGGAUAAAAGUUACCCUGGGGAUAACAGGCUGAUCUCCCCCAAGAGUCCACAUCGACGGGAGGUUUGGCACCCCGAUGUCGGCUCAUCGCAUCCUGGGGCUGUAUUCGGUCCCAAGGGUUUGGCUGUUCGCCAAUUAAAGCGGUACGCGAGCUGGGUUCAGAACGUCGUGAGACAGUUCGGUCCCUAUCUGUCGUGGGCGCAGGAUAUUUGAUGGGAGCUGUUCCUAGUACGAGAGGACCGGAGCGGACGUACCUCUGGCGCACCAGUUGUUCUGCCAAGGGCAUAGCUGGGCAACUAUGUACGGAUCGGAUAAACGCUGAAAGCAUCUAAGCGUGAAGCCGACCCAAAGAUAAGAUAUCCCAUUGUUUCAAACAAGUAAGACCCCUUGAAGACUACAAGGUUGAUAGGCAUGAUGUGUAAGUGGAGUGAUCCAUUCAGCAAGCGUGUACUAAUAGGUCGAGGGCUUGACCG